UGGGGAAUAUUGCACAAUGGGCGCAAGCCUGAUGCAGCCAUGCCGCGUGUGUGAAGAAGGCCUUCGGGUUGUAAAGCACUUUCAGCGGGGAGGAAGGCGUUAAGGUUAAUAACCUUGGCGAUUGACGUUACCCGCAGAAGAAGCACCGGCUAACUCCGUGCCAGCAGCCGCGGUAAUACGGAGGGUUCAAGCGUUAAUCGGAAUUACUGGGCGUAAAGCGCACGCAGGCGGUCUGUCAAGUCGGAUGUGAAAUCCCCGGGCUCAACCUGGGAACUGCAUUCUAAACUGGCAGGCUAGAGUCAUGUAGAGGGGGGUAGAAUUCCAGGUGUAGCGGUGAAAUGCGUAGUGAUCUGGAGGAAUACCGGUCGCGAAGGCGGCCCCCUGGACAAAGACUGACGCUCAGGUGCGAAAGCGUGGGGAGCAAACAGG
rnacentral:rRNA from 1 species